AGCGAACGCUGGCGGCAGGCCUAACACAUGCAAGUCGAGCGAACUCUUCGGAGUUAGUGGCGGACGGGUGAGUAACACGUGGGAACGUGCCUUUUGGUUCGGAAUAACUCAGGGAAACUUGUGCUAAUACCGAAUGUGCCCUUCGGGGGAAGGAUUUAUCGCCAUUAGAGCGGCCCGCGUCUGAUUAGCUAGUUGGUGAGGUAACGGCUCACCAAGGCGACGAUCAGUAGCUGGUCUGAGAGGAUGACCAGCCACACUGGGACUGAGACACGGCCCAGACUCCUACGGGAGGCAGCAGUGGGGAAUCUUGCGCAAUGGGCGAAAGCCUGACGCAGCCAUGCCGCGUGAAUGAUGAAGGUCUUAGGAUUGUAAAAUUCUUUCACCGGGGACGAUAAUGACGGUACCCGGAGAAGAAGCCCCGGCUAACUUCGUG
rnacentral:rRNA from 1 species